rnacentral:piRNA from 1 species
UGGGUCAGGUUGAACGAGUGCAUGAUAGCA